rnacentral:tRNA from 1 species
GGUUCCAUAGUUCAGCGGAUAACACCCUGAACUUUGAAUCCAGUAACGCGAGUUCGAAUCUCGCCGGAACCU